UCUAAUAUGGCAGAAUAGUGCAAUGGACUUAAACCCCAUACAUAAAGGGAUCUUUUUUUAGAA
rnacentral:tRNA from 1 species